UCCUGCAGGCAGCAUAUCACAGCUUUGCCUGCCUAUCCAAUCCCAGUCUUAAUUGUGGGGCUGCAAAAUCCUGGCAACUCCAGAUCUGAGGCUAGUCGAUUCAGAGCUGUGUCCCCAAACUCCCCACAGGCAGGUUAGCAGCCCUCAUACGAAAGGUUGAGGCUCUGAGCCUGCACUGUCUUCUGGAGAAACAGUGUUCCCCUCUGGUGGAAAGAAACUCACGUCCUUGAAAGGAAAUGUGAAUUCCAGUUUUUCCUCUCUCCCUUUAGCUGUCUUUUGCUCAGUAUAAGAUUCCACACUACAGCAGAGGAUAGGGGAUAUCAGUCAUAUGACUUUUAAAUAUCAAAAGACACUGGAUGAUAUCCAAUUUUCAAACGUUUUUGUGCUAUAAUUAUUUAUAUCCUCUGCACAGACACACUUUGUUUCCUAAGUUAUUUAUGACCUCAGGAAUUACCAACCUGUCAGUUUCUCCUCUGUGCUGGAAAAGAUCAUGGAGCAGAUCCUCCUGGAAGCUAUGCUAAGGCACAUGGAAGAUGGGGAGGUGAUACAGGAGAACCAGCAUGACUACACCAAGGGCCAAUCCUGCUUGACCAAACUAGUGGUCUUUUAUGAUGGUGUCACUGCAUCAGUGGAGUGCGCAUGAACAGCCAGAUAACAGCCGAAUGAACUUGACUUUUGAUUACAUCAAAACCUUGGUUAAUCUCACUGGCCGCUGCUCCAUCACUAGCAUCCAUGAGGGAAAUGAGUGGACUGUCAUUAUCAGAGAGGACCAAAGACAGGGUCUGUCAGAGGUAGCUGCCUCCUGUUCCUCUGGCAGCAUCUGCCUGAGCAGUAAAUUUUUUUUCUGAUGUUUUCUAACACUAUUUUCACCUUUAUUCCUUAACAAUCUAUAUUAAAGCCCAUGCUUUUAUAACAAAAUUUGACUUUUGAGUAUACCUAGCUGACUCUGAUACUUUGGGAUUUUUAAAGGCCAGUAUUAAUUAGAAACUCUGAGAAGAGUGGGGCUGACUAAGCAGUCUGCAUAGAUCUCUGUGAACCUUAACUAUUCUGUGGUUCUGUAAUAGAUCAGCAAUUUUCAAUCUUCAGUGUUUUCAGGAGAACUUAAAAACAUUAACUGAUUAAUCUAUGAAUGUCUCAUAGAUCACAGCUUGUCAACAAGUAUAUAUUGAUUUGUUUUAGCAGAUUUCAUGUCCACCAAGUCCUGCACCAAUCUAGUCUACUUCUUUCAUCCUUCCUGCCAGUUAUCACAAAAUGUGAAGAUAUUUGCCCUACUAGAGCUUGAAAGGUUUUAGGAAUAAUAUAGUCAGCCUUGACCUAUAUCAAGAAUUAGUUGCUAGUAGUGUGUUCCUGCAUUUGCAGUAUAAUAACUUGAAAAACAGCACAAUAUAACCCUUUUAUAAAUAGGAGUAGCAGGCUAGACUGGAAUAAUUUCAAAUUUUCUGUUUAUUUCCACAAUGUUUUUAAAAGUUAAAAAGGCCUAUUCUCAAAAGACUGCAGGUAUUUCCUUUCAAAAUUUAAGUUAAGAAUUCAGACAGCGAAUUCAUUACUUCCCUGCUCACGAGAGGCAGCUAAAUAACUUCAUAUGCAGCCAUAAAAUAAAGGAUCCAAAAAUGAAAUAUGAAAUAGGAAUGAGUCCCCUUGUGAAAUGAGACCUUCCUACUACUUUCAAAAGGUAACUGGCUCAAGGCAAGUUCAGUCUGUUAAGUGAGUUAUCUUUCAGGAUUAGCUUGUGCUGGUUCAGUGUACGGUGUUUGUCUCUCUGGUAAAAUAAGAAAAAAAUUAUCUGUCAAGAUUUUGAGAACUUCUAGAGAUGGAAGCCCUUAAAUGAGAAGUGUGUUUUAGCUGUUACAUGUAAUUAAAGAAUUUAUGCCAUUUACAUACUCUUGUCCUAGUCAAAUUCCAAUUUAGCUAAUUAAUUUUUGCUUCUAACAAUCUCCAGUUUCUACUGGUAAAUUUAUUUUCCACUUUGCAAUCUUAAUUAUGGUAUAACAGCAUUACUAUAUAAUCUUAUCACAGUUUGGUUUUAAUAAGGGGAGAUUCAUUUUCAGGUCUGGAAACUGAAAGCCAUUCUAUGCAGCAAAUGUACCAGCUUAGAACUACUUUUGUGGCCAAAAUGUACUCAACACUAGUGAGUCUGAAUUGGUUUUCCGUGAGGAAAACACAAGUCUCAAUGCACAAAUUAUGCAAGUACAUUUUCAAGACAAUUUGUCUGUCCUUAAAUAUUUAAAGUUUCCUUUUUUCCCUUCAGACAAAAAUACAUACACAAACAUUACUUCUCCCCAUUAAUGCUGCUUGACUCAUCACACUGUAUCUUCUUUGUUGAAAAUGUUUCAGUUCACAUUCUCGAAGUUGAGUAUGUCUCAUGUCCCACUGUGAAAAAUAAUACACAAGUGAGGUCUUUUUUUCUUUCCCGAUUAUUUUGUGAAUGGAAAUAAAGUCUUACUUUCUUAGUAGUGGUAAAGAUGUAGAUUUAUUGUUCAUUCAGUGAAAAUAGUGCUUUCAUAUUCACAAAGCAAAACACAAAAUUACAUAAGAGAUGAAGGCAAUGACAUUCUUCACUUCUUUUUUAUUUAUUAAUUCUUAACUUUAAUUUUUCAUUCAGAGCCAAUUUUCUUCAAAGAAGGUUUCUGGUGUCAUUUUUAUAUUGUUUUGAUUUAAAACUUCACUAAAAACCUUGUUGGUUUAAUCAUUUUACCUUCAAGAAUUUAAACUGUAAAAUCAUCAUUUGAGUCUUUAUUUUUUAUCUAGAAGUACCUGAAGAAUGCUCACUCAGAACAGAUGCCUAGAUUAAAGAAGGGUAUGACUGCUUUCCAUAUCACACUGCAAACCAAUAAAACUGAGUAAUGUCAGCAUGCCUUUAAGUAUCUUUAUACUAGUAAAAAUCCAGGGUUGACUUUGCUUCCUGCACUGAACAUCUAUCCAGGCAUGCAAAUGUUUACACCUAUUGCAUGUGGCUAUAUACUAUAGAGCUGGGUUCCCAGAUGGCUUAGUGGAGCUCAGCAAAAGGAAUUCUCUAGGAAGUUUCUUUCUUCAGUAAUGCAUUUAGACAAAGCACAGGAAUAAUUAUCAGUUCAGCUGAUCUACUAUUUUCCAUCACUGGAAAAAUGUCUAAGCUGAAUCUUGGUGCCUUUAUAAUUUUAAAGGGUCUUCACUUUGGUAAAUCCUUGGAGCUGAAUUCUAAUAAUCUUUAAACACAAAUUCUAUAUUUCAGAGUCAAUUUCAUUCCCCAUCUUUCCUGAUCACUUUAUUUCUAUUGUUAAAACAACCUGGGAAUAACUGUAGGUGGAUCCUACUGUCAUUAUUUUCCCCUUUAUAUUGUUAAGAUCUUUUUUUUUAAAUUCAAAAUAUGAUAAAAUUACUAUGAAAUUAUUUUUUCUUUAAUAUGGGCAUAGUAAAUGUACAUCUGGAUUUAUUUUUCUAAAGAACUUUAUACUCAAGUGAUUUAUUUAUUUAUUUUUUGUCAAGUUAAAUUUCAAGUUAGUUUGAAUUUGACAUCUACCUUCUUAAACUGCUAUGCUGGAUCAAGCCUUCUUUCUACAGCCAGCUUCUCCUCAACUAUGUCUUCCAUGCCGCGAUGUGGUUUCUCUGGUUUAGGAAUUUGUUUAUGGUGGUUAGAGGAUAUGGCUGUAUUUCUAACACUAAAUUACAUUUCUGAGGAAACAUGAUGAGAGUUCAGGAUGAGCUAACUUUAGCUGACUUGAAAAUAAAUGUUCCAACAUUUCCAAACACAUCUAUUUUUGAUUUUUUUGUUUGUUCCUGUGAAAAUGUUCAAUAAUGUAGAAAAUAAAUGUUUUUAGCAAUAA